UUUUAAUCCCUAUUAGUAUAGUCAAGUUAAGAAAAAGUAUGGAAGUAAGUCGUGUAGUCGUGCUUUUUUUGGAUUUGUUAGAUGGCGCAACUAGAUUGAUUCCCCCGAGUUGCACCGUUUCUAUUAUGUACGGAAGACCGUUAAAUUUUAGGUAUAAACUAUAAAGUGCCGUAAUUUUGGAGUAAAUUAAAUGCUAUUAGGUUCAAGCUAAGUAGUGUAUAGAGAACACCUUGGUGCAUAGUAUAUCUUAAUUAAAAAGAUGUGCAAUGUAUGAUACCCUAAAAAAAAAUUUUUUUUCGAUUGCGGCUCGAGGAUAAGUCAGUCGGUUGGUGCAAUCUCAAGUUAAGCUUUUUAAAGCAUUAUAAACAUUCAGUUAACUUUGCACGCCUGGGCAAAUUAUGGAACAUGUAUUUUUAAUUAUUUUGUACAUUGUGCUUCGGGGGAAAUUAAGAGAGACGUGAAAAUUUUAAAAACGGUACUUAUCUAAAGACACUACAUUUGCACUAAAUUAAAAAUAGAUUUUUUUCACCGGAAGUUUGUCAAAAAGUAAAUAGAAUUAAUCGCAACAAACUGCAAGCGAAGGUGGUUGGCAGCACGUGGCACGGGGCGCGCGGGGCGGGGAGAUAGCGCAGCGCGCAGCUAGGGUUUGCAAUAUCCGACAAUUUUUCGGAUCCGGAUACAUAGAAAUAGGAUAUCAAGAACGACUAUCAAAAAUAGUGAUGUCAUGUUACAACAUAUUAAUAAUCUAUCGGUGUUUGACUGCUUUAUCGACUACUUAUUCAAAUGUGUUUGAUUGUAUAAAAAAAUGUUAUACGAGUAGGUAUGAAGUCGCUUCCCUUAUGGUCAUAUAGGGCCCAAAAGGUGCCUAUGAAACCAGCAUCAUAUUUUAGUAUGUUGUUAAGCAUGUUAUUCUGACUAAAAAACCACCGGGAGACAGUUUCUAACGUGGUUAAGUCACCAGUUAUGACGUCAUCAAAAUGGCCGGUGCCGUGUUCAGAAUAUUGCGUAUACCACAGCAAGUAUAUCACAUGUAAGCUUGUGUGGGGUGUCAUAAAAAGAAAAAUUAAAUGCGCUACAAUAUCGUUUAUACAUUUGACCUUGUAAAUACCAUAGUUUGCGAGAAAUUUUAAGUUUUAUUUAAAUACCUAUUCCCGAAAAAAAUCCGUUUUUUGUUUUCAUCAACUUUACUAGUAACUUUACAGGAAGACAUUGUAUCAAGAUAUUAAUGCUAUAUUAAUAAGCUAUAAAAAUCCAUUAAAAUUUUGAAAAUCGGUUUAUAAACAAGCAAAUUACACUAUUUUUGUUCCAUACCGGAUGACACCACCAAGAGUCGGAUGGCUGUUUCAAUACAAUUUGCAAGGCAAAUGAUGUUUAAGUAAAGGUAACUUGCUGAACGAUAUUUAUAGUAAAGUAAUAUUUUCGAUAAAAGUAUUAUUAUCAAAAUUAAGAAUACUGAGAUCGUUUUAUUGUAAUUUACUCCGGAUCUAGCUAAUUAAAGUUACACACUAAUUAAACAAAAAUAUUUA